AACGGCCGCGUUAGCGUGAGCGUGCUAAGGUAGCGUAAUAAAUAGCCUUUUAAUUGGAGGCCAGUGAAUGGCAAGACUAGGGAAUUUGUACCCGUAUAGAAAAACAACUUUUCAUUCGGGUGAAAAGACCUGAUAAUAAAGGAAGACGAAAAGACCCCGCGGAACUUUACCUUUUCUAUACUAAUGCACAGAAAAACAAAAGGUUUGAUUGGGGCAAUCUCGGAACCACCCAAACUUCCAUUAUAAAAUAAAAAAAUAAAGAAUUAAUAAGGAUCAAAAAGAAGUUACCCCGGGGAUAACAGCGUAAUCCAACUUGAGAGUACAUAUCGAAAGCUGGGUUUGCGACCUCGAUGUUGGCUUAAGGAUAUCCACAUAAGUGCAACC
rnacentral:rRNA from 1 species